rnacentral:rRNA from 1 species
ACUCAAAUGAAUAGACGGGGGUCCGCACAAGCGGUGGAACAUGUGGUUUAAUUCGACACUACGCGAGGAACCUUACCUGGGCUUGACAUGUACUUGACAGUCGUAGAAAUACGAUCUUCUAGGCUUCGGUCUAGACGGGUACACAGGUGCUGCAUGGCUGUCGUCAGCUCGUGUCGUGAGAUGUUGGGUUAAGUCCUCUAACGAGCGCAACCCUUGUUGUCAGUUGCAACUUACGUAAGUAAGGCACUCUGACGAGACUGCCUGGGAAACCAGGAGGAAGGUGGGGACGACGUCAAGUCAUCAUGGUCCUUAUGUCCAGGGCAACACACGUGUUACAAUGGUCGGUACAAAGGGCUGCAAACCCGCGAGGGGGAGCAAAUCUCAAAAAGCCGAUCUAAGUUCGGAUUGAAGUCUGCAACCCGACUUCAUGAAGCUGAAAUCGCUAGUAAUCGCAUAUCAGCUACGAUGCGGUGAAUACGUUCUCGGACCUUGUACACACCGCCCGU